rnacentral:rRNA from 1 species
AUUGAACGCUGGCGGCAGGCCUAACACAUGCAAGUCGAGCGGAUGAGGGGAGCUUGCUCUCUGAUUCAGCGGCGGACGGGUGAGUAAUGCCUAGGAAUCUGCCUGGUAGUGGGGGACAACGUUUCGAAAGGAACGCUAAUACCGCAUACGUCCUACGGGAGAAAGUGGGGGAUCUUCGGACCUCACGCUAUCAGAUGAGCCUAGGUACGAUUAGCUAGUUGGUGAGGUAAAGGCUCACCAAGGCGACGAUCGUUAACUGGUCUGAGAGGAUGAGCAGUCACACUGGAACUGAGACACGGUCCAGACUCCUACGGGAGGCAGCAGUGGGGAAUAUUGGACAAUGGGCGAAAGCCUGAUCCAGCCAUGCCGCGUGUGUGAAGAAGGUCUUCGGAUUGUAAAGCACUUUAAGUUGGGAGGAAGGGCAGUAAGUUAAUACCUUGCUGUUUUGACGUUACCGACAGAAUAAGCACCGGCUAACUUCGUGCCAGCAGCCGCCGUAAUAC